rnacentral:rRNA from 1 species
GUCGAGCGGACAGAUGGGAGCUUGCUCCCUGAUGUUAGCGGCGGACGGGUGAGUAACACGUGGGUAACCUGCCUGUAAGACUGGGAUAACUCCGGGAAACCGGGGCUAAUACCGGAUGCUUGAUUGAACCGCAUGGUUCAAUUAUAAAAGGUGGCUUUUAGCUACCACUUACAGAUGGACCCGCGGCGCAUUAGCUAGUUGGUGAGGUAACGGCUCACCAAGGCGACGAUGCGUAGCCGACCUGAGAGGGUGAUCGGCCACACUGGGACUGAGACACGGCCCAGACUCCUACGGGAGGCAGCAGUAGGGAAUCUUCCGCAAUGGACGAAAGUCUGACGGAGCAACGCCGCGUGAGUGAUGAAGGUUUUCGGAUCGUAAAACUCUGUUGUUAGGGAAGAACAAGUACCGUUCGAAUAGGGCGGUACCUUGACGGUACCUAACCAGAAAGCCACGGCUAACUACGUGCCAGCAGCCGCGGUAAUACGUAGGUGGCAAGCGUUGUCCGGAAUUAUUGGGCGUAAAGCGCGCGCAGGCGGUUUCUUAAGUCUGAUGUGAAAGCCCCCGGCUCAACCGGGGAGGGUCAUUGGAAACUGGGGAACUUGAGUGCAGAAGAGGAGAGUGGAAUUCCACGUGUAGCGGUGAAAUGCGUAGAGAUGUGGAGGAACACCAGUGGCGAAGGCGACUCUCUGGUCUGUAACUGACGCUGAGGCGCGAAAGCGUGGGGAGCGAACAGGAUUAGAUACCCUGGUAGUCCACGCCGUAAACGAUGAGUGCUAAGUGUUAAGAGGGUUUCCGCCCUUUAGUGCUGCAGCAAACGCAUUAAGCACUCCGCCUGGGGGAGUACGGUCGCAAGACUGAAACUCAAAGGAAUUGACGGGGGCCCGCACAAGCGGUGGAACCAGGUGGUUUAAUUCGAAGCAACGCGAAGAACCUUACCAGGUCUUGACAUCCUCUGACAACCCUAGAGAUAGGGCUUCCCCUUCGGGGGCAGAGUGACAGGUGGUUGCAUGGUUGUCGUCAGCUCGUGUCGUGAGAUGUUUGGGUUAAGUCCCGCAACGAGCGCAACCCUUGAUCUUAUUUGCCAGCAUUCAUUUGGGCACUCUAAGGUGACUGCCGGUGACA